rnacentral:rRNA from 1 species
AUACGGAGGAUCCGAGCGUUAUCCGGAUUUAUUGGGUUUAAAGGGUGCGCAGGCGGCCAUUUAAGUCAGCGGUUAAAUCGUGGGGCUCAACCCCAUUCUGCCGUUGAUACUGGGUGGCUUGAUUGCGGUCGAGGUUGGCGGAAUUCGUUGUGUAGCGGUGAAAUGCAUAGAUAUGACGAAGAACACCGAUUGCGUAGGCAGCUGACCAGACCGCAAAUGACGCUCAUGCACGAAAGUGCGGGGAUCGAACAGGAUUAGACACCCUGGUAGUCCGCACAGUAAACGAUGAAUACUUGUUUUCGGCGAUAUAAUGUCGGAGGCAAAGCGAAAGCGAUAAGUAUUCCACCUGGGGAGUACGCCGGCAACGGUGAAACUCAAAGGAAUUGACGGGG